UGAAAUGGAGAAUCCUUUGUGGCCUUUCCCUUUUUUCUUUCCUCCUCCUGUUUCAGUCUCUGGAGAACUCUGUAAAUUUACUCCUUCGACACGUGUUAGGAUUCCUGUUUCUUGUUUUGCAUGUUUUGAAGGAUUGGCGAUGUGUGAGAUAUUACAAGAGAUGAUAUGUGAUCUGUUCUGGUUUCUUUAGAUAUGUUUGAUUGGAACGACGAAGAGAUUACGAACAUAAUAUGGGGUGAGACUGACAAUAGUGAUGACCAUAUUGUGCCGUUUCCAGACGCAAGCGAAGAUUAUUGCAAGAAAAAAGAAUCUAGUGGAGAAGCUGGUACCAUUAAUUCUGGUGCGCAGAAAGCAGCCGGGGCUAAAGUUGAUAUUGAUGGCAGAAAGUUGGAGAGUAGUUCAAACUUUGACACCAGUGAAGGAACUUCUGCCUCAGGAGUCGAUAUCGACCGAUGGCCUAGCUUGUCGUUAUCUAAUGCUGCCGAAACUGAUCAGGAUUCCUUUGGCACUUCAAUGUCUAACAGUUUAACUGACAUUACCAAACUUGAUUCAUCAGCAGGUGGUAAAGAACAAGGUGAUUUUGUUGAUUAUGGCUGGGCUAGCAUUGGAAGCUUUGAUGAUCUUGAUCGGAUUUUCAGCAAUGGUGACCCAAUAUUUGGCAAUGUAAAUCUUGGCGAUGCUGAUGACCUAUGGUCUUCUUCUAAAGAUAUAACUAACAGUCCGGUGAAGCCCUUUCCAAUAUCCAUGGCUUCAAGACAAGAGUAUGCACAAGAAGAUGACCCGCUGUUUACCCUUGGCUAUGGAAAAAUGAACGAUCCUGCAUCUCGUGGUCUGCAGAAUACACAGACAGAUUUGGCCAUUGUGGGAAAGAACACAACAACUAGCUCUCAGCUGACUGCAGAAAAUGUGGUGCUGCCAAAUGAAUUAACAAAUAAGGUUUACAGGCAAAAGAAGCUAUUGAAAGGUCGGAAAAAAUUGGAAGAAAAAGGUGAACUGAAAUCGUACCAAGAUUUUAAUGGAAACUGGACUCCAUCUGGAAUCCAAGCCGGUCAAUUUAAGAAUCAGUUUGCACCCCAAAUUAUGCAAUCUUGCCCCCCUUCGAUUCUCAGCCAACAGAAUCAGCUCCAGGGACCUGACCAGUUGCAGUACCAGCAAAUAUCGAAUCCAUUUGUGGCUCCUUCUGCAUAUGGGAGCAUGACAAAUCCAUAUUCCACGCCUGUGUUGUCUCAUUUUCAGUCCGGGGAAUUUAAGCAUCAACCUUUAGCUUCUGGUUAUGAAUUUUCUUCAGUUUCUUCAGGCAUUGCAAAUCCUAUAAUCAACUUAGAUGACUGUCCAGUGAACCAGAGAAUGACACCUCAGGAAAAAAUUGAAAAAUUAAGGAGGCGGCAACAAAUUCAGGCAAUGAUUGCCAUUCAGAAACAGCAGCAGCAGCUUGUUCAUCAAAAAUGUUCUCAAGAAAAUCAAAUUCAGCAUGUUGAAGGAGCUGAACUAGAAGUAGAGGAUCUAAGUACUCUUGCUUCAUUCGACCCAAACUCGCCCGUUGAGCAAGAUGAUUCCAAUACAAUCUCUCUGGCAGUUAAUGAUUACUCAAUGGAGGACACAAUACUCUACAGGCUUCAAGAUAUGAUUUCAAAGCUGGAUGUCAGAAUUAGACUCUGUAUUCGGGAUAGCAUGUUCCGGUUAGCUCAGAGUGCAAUGCACAGGCAUUAUGGUAGUGAUACUAGCAGUACAAACAAUAGUAGCGGGGGUGAACAAGUUGCCAUGAAAGAGGAAACCAGGAUGGUUAAGAUGCCUGAAGUGGAAACAGAUACCAACCCCAUAGACCGGACUGUGGCCCAUUUGCUGUUUCACAGACCAGUGGAUUUCGCAGGGAAACAUCCUGAGACACCUGAAUCACCUGUUUCUACUAAGCUCCCGUGUGAGCACAAGACAGUGGGCAUAGCAAAACUGUCAAUGGGAAGCUUGCCUGACUCUCCAAAAAGUAAACCGAACUUUUCUCAACAGGGUUCUAAACUUUCUAGUCUCUUGACCAAUUUCCAGCCAGCCGGUCAUUGUAAAAGCAAUCCUUGUUUAGACACAUCGGAGGAUGCAUCAAACAAUGGACCUGCAGAUGAAGUAGCUAGGGAGGUUAAAGCCUCUGAAUGAAGCCCAUUGGAUCACCAUCAAAUGAGGGUCACAGAUUAAACACCAAUAUUGCCGAGGAUUCAUCAACGUCAUUGGCAGGCAGCGUAACGUAGCAUUUGUGGAUUUGAAAGUAUUGUGGUCUAUAUAGCUACAUAUCUACUACCACCAGAACUUCCUGAAUUCUCAAGAUGAUGACUUUUAAGUGUAUGCUUUUAUCCUUCUGCUAAUUAUGUGGAAGGGUGAUACGCCAAUAAUUAUUAGCAGAUUUAUAUGUGCCUACCCUCUGAGUGACAUUGGCCUCUUUCCCUUGUUUCUGAGUUGUGAUUCCAAAACACAUUCAUCUUUGUUAUGAACUUACUAUGGGUUUGAGUAUAAAAGUUUGUUCUUCCUCUGCUACCAAUUAUGGGCAAAUGGAACUUGGGUU